GCAGUUACGGAUGGGCGCAGCCUGAUCCAGCAAUGCCGCGUGAGUGAAGAAGGCCUUCGGGUUGUAAAGCUCUUUCAGUUGAGAAGAAAAAAUUGUGACUAAUAAUUGCAAUUGAUGACGGUAUCAACAGAAGAAGCACCGGCUAACUACGUGCCAGCAGCCGCGGUAAU
rnacentral:rRNA from 1 species